rnacentral:sRNA from 2 species
AAACUCUGACUCUGAGGAGUCAAUAAUUAUCAAGUUGUUUUUAAUUUUAAUUUUAAUUGUUUUUUCGGUUCCUGUUAGUGAUAUCUCUAAUACCUUUUCUAUUUUCUGGAGCCAGGGGAACUGAUUAGUAGAUAGGUAAUAGGUAAAGCAUGGAUUUGAGCUUGAGAGGGAAGGGUGGCGUAAAAAGAACAAUAACAAGCCUCGGGGGGGAUUCCGUAACUCAAUUAAAAUGUCGAUCUCAUUAGAUGGCUUCUGAAUAGAGGGUAGCAAUAAGGCCAAAACCUCUCCCUAGCCGUCGAAGAUCUUUCAUUGUGUGCCUGAACC